rnacentral:rRNA from 1 species
UACGUAGGGUGCAAGCGUUGUCCGGAAUUAUUGGGCGUAAAGAGCUCGUAGGCGGUUUGUCGCGUCUGCUGUGAAAACCCGAGUCUCAACCUCGGGCCUGCAGUGGGUACGGGCAGACUAGAGUGCGGUAGGGGAGAUUGGAAUUCCUGGUGUAGCGGUGGAAUGCGCAGAUAUCAGGAGGAACACCAAUGGCGAAGGCAGAUCUCUGGGCCGUAACUGACGCUGAGGAGCGAAAGCAUGGGGAGCGAACAGG